rnacentral:lncRNA from 1 species
AAGAAAAGAUAUCCGGCCACCAAUGUCGCGACGACGGCGUGCGUGAAAGAGAUUGCCCUGCAUUAUGGUCAAACCGCGAUUUCUCCAUCUUCUUCACAGGUGAACUGAUUCACAUCCAUAGCUUUUUUUCUUUUCUAUGCGUUCUCUGACCACGUUUUUGACAUGUAGUGACGCGACUCACAUAAACCCGCCUACAAAACUUUAAAUACGACGAGCAGACCGAAUUGACUUGGAAUACCUGUUGUUCCACUCGACCCUGUCCUUGUCCGAGAGCUUGGUGUACGCAUUUGGGAAGAGAACCGGGCCGUAAGCCUUCAUCGACUCGAAUGCCUGCUCGACAAGUCGAUCGAUCCAUGGUAAAUUCCUUCGUUUUUUUAAUGGUUUUUUCGUUUGACUUACUAGCGUGGACAUGAGAAUUCCAGUGAGAAUCGACGUGGCCCAGAGCAAUGGCUUCUUGUAGCCAAAAUCUCCCAUCACAUCCUCCAGUUGGGUCUGGAAAAGCACUGCCUUCUCCAUCG